GGAUGGAACUUUGAUCCCAAGAUGGCAACCAGGGGGUGGGGCACCUGUCAAGGGGCAGGGCUACCAUAUGGCCCUAGACAGCUUGCCUAAACUGGUAAGAGUCCCUCCAUCCAAAAUAAUUGCCCACCCCU